rnacentral:rRNA from 1 species
GACGAACGCUGGCGGCGUGCCUAAUACAUGCAAGUCGAGCGAAUUGAUGGGAGCUUGCUCCCUGAUAUUAGCGGCGGACGGGUGAGUAACACGUGGGUAACCUGCCUGUAAGAUUGGGAUAACUCCGGGAAACCGGAGCUAAUACCGGAUAACAUUUCGAACCGCAUGGUUUGAAAUUGAAAGAUGGUUUCGGCUAUCACUUACAGAUGGACCCGCGGCGCAUUAGCUAGUUGGUGAGGUAACGGCUCACCAAGGCAACGAUGCGUAGCCGACCUGAGAGGGUGAUCGGCCACACUGGGACUGAGACACGGCCCAGACUCCUACGGGAGGCAGCAGUAGGGAAUCUUCCGCAAUGGACGAAAGUCUGACGGAGCAACGCCGCGUGAACGAUGAAGGCCUUCGGGUCGUAAAGUUCUGUUGUUAGGGAAGAACAAGUACCAGAGUAACUGCUGGUACCUUGACGGUACCUACUGAAUAAGGACCUGCUAAUCUCGUGCCAGCCGCCGCCGCGG